UUUCAUUCAUCAUACAUUCAUUCCAUGUUGUACAGUACGUACUCUUUGGUUGUUCAAAUAUCUUGUCAUAGUGUUGUAUUAUUGUUUUCCAAUAUUCGAACUCCCACCCUAC
rnacentral:ribozyme from 1 species